rnacentral:rRNA from 1 species
UACAGAGGGGGCAAGCGUUGUUCGGAAUUACUGGGCGUAAAGGGCGCGUAGGUGGCCUUCUAAGUUGAACGUGAAAUCCCUGGGCUCAACCCAGGAACUGCGUCCAAGACUGGGAGGCUUGAAUCCGGGAGAGGGAUGCGGAAUUCCAGGUGUAGCGGUGAAAUGCGCAGAUAUCAGGAAGAACACCCGUGGCUAAGGCGGCUCUCUAGUACGGUACUGACGCUGAGACGCGAAAGCGUGGGGAGCGAACAGG